rnacentral:rRNA from 1 species
UUGAAUCUGUGUGCCACACUGUCGGUUCACCGCUCGCGGUGUUUAACUGGCAUGACGUGGGACGUCCUAUCGGUGGGUUUCUCUUUCCUUCGGAUAGAGGCCCAACUAAUAUCCCAUCGCGGUGCUCUUCACUGAGUGUCGAGGUGGGCCGGUACGUUUACUUUGAACAAAUUAGAGUGCUUAAAGCAGGCUGUCUUCGCCUGAAUACUGUGUGCAUGGAAUAAUGGAAUAGGACCUCGGUUCUAUUUUGUUGGUUUUCGGAACCCCGAGGUAAUGAUUAGUAGGGACAGAUGGGGGCAUUCGUAUUGCGACGUUAGA